CAGAUCAUUUCUAUUAGUUGAGUUUUCAUUUACACUGAAUUAUUGUGCUGUGCAAUUCGGCAUGAUCUGA
rnacentral:tRNA from 1 species